rnacentral:misc_RNA from 1 species
AGAUGGAUCAUUCGCAAUUUAAUUUUCUAUUUUGGUUUCUUUAUCUGCAAACGAAUUUAAUGACUUGGUUGUUAUCUGCAAACGAAUUUAAUGCAUUGGUUCUUAUCUGCAAACGAAAUUAAUGACUUGGUUCUUAUCUGCAAACGAAAUUAAUGACUUGGUUCUUAUCUGCAAACGAACUUAACGCAUUGGUUCUUAUCUGCAAACGAACUUAACGCAUUGGUUGCUAUCUGCAAACGAAUUUAAUGACUUGGUUGUUAUCUGCAAACGAAUUUAAUGCAUUGGUUCUUAUCUGCAAACGAAUUUAAUGACUUGGUUGCUAUCUGCAAACGAACUUAAUGACUUGGUCACUAUCUGCAAACGAAUUUAAUGCAUUGGUUUUAACUUCAAAUCUAAUUUAAUGAAAUUCAAUUAUUACUUUCAGCGAUGGAUGUCUCGGAUCUCGUAUCGAUGAAGGACGCAGCUAGCUGCGAAACGCAGUGUGACUUGCAAACUUCUGAGAAUCACUAGAUUUUUGAACGCAAAAGGCACUCCUCGAUUCUGUCUUGGAGUAUGUUCACUUCAGUGCUUAUUCUUUUUGUUGUUCUAAUUGGAGAACAACGUGAUUAGAUGCUGUUUCGAUGGCUUCUGUAGUGCAUGGUCUUCCGACUCUUUGGUGAACCCAUGGAUGUUGUGGAUCAAAACAUUAAACACGAGCCUGAAUUUGAGCAAGGCUACCCGCUGAAUUUAAGCAUAUUAUUAAGCGGAGGAAAAGAAACUAACUAGGAUUCCCUCAGUAACGGCGAGUGAACAGGGAAAAGCUCAAGCUGAAAAUCGACAGUUUACUGUCGAAUUGUAGUCUCACGAAGUGCAGCCUGUGUUUGUUCUGGGUUAAGUCUCUUGGAAAAGAGUACCAAAGAGGGUGAAAGUCCCGUCUUUGCUCAGAACUUUUCACGUUCGGUGCAUUUUCUUCGAGUCGCGUUCCUUGAGAUUGGAGCGCUAAUCAGGUGAUAAAUUUCAUCUAAAGCUAAAUACUAACGAGAUUCCGAUAGCAUACAAGUACCGUGAGGGAAAGAUGAAAAGGACUUUGAAAAGAGAGUUAAAAGGAACUGAAAUUGCUGAAAGGGAAGCGGAGAGUUUGGGCAGUCUAGCAGUUCUUUGUGUUUGAUGCAGUUUUCGACUGUUCUCGAAUUCUUGAGUUCUGUGAUGACUUUGGGAGAGGUUUUCACUAUUGAUUAAUGCUUUUGGGUCUCUUCCUUGUGUUGAGCUCGCCUGCUGUCAUCAGUGGAGAGGAUCUUUGCUCUAGUGCAGCACUUUAGUGGUUGUGUUAUAGUAUCCCAAAGAUGUCUUUUCUCUCCGUCCCGUCUUGAAACACGGACCAAGGAGUCUAACUUGUGUGCAAGUACAAGGGUGGUAAACCCACGUGCGAAACGAAAAUAAUUGUUAGGAAGGGCAACCUGCACUAACACCCGACUAACAAGUUGAGGUUGAGCAUACAGGUUAGGACCCGAAAGAUGGUGAACUAUGCCUGAGUAGGGUGAAGCCAGAGGAAACUCUGGUGGAAGCUCGUAGCGAUACUGACGUGCAAAUCGUUCGUCAAACUUGGGUAUAGGGGCGAAAGACUAAUCGAACCAUCUAGUAGCUGGUUCCCUC